CCUACGGGAGGCAGCAGUGAGGAAUAUUGGUCAAUGGGCGGAAGCCUGAACCAGUCAAGUCGCGUGCAGGAUGACGGCCCUACGGGUUGUAAACUGCUUUUAUACGGGAAUAACGCGUCUUACGUGUAGGCCUUUGCAUGUACCGUAUGAAUAAGGACCGGCUAAUUCCGUGCCAGCAGCCGCGGUAAUACGGAAGGUCCGGGCGUUAUCCGGAUUUAUUGGGUUUAAAGGGUGCGUAGGCCGCAUGGCAAGCGUGCUGUGAAAUGUCCGGGCUCAACCCGGGCCUUGCAGCGCGAACGGGCGGGCUUGAGGCCGCGGGAAGCAGGCGGAAUGCGUCGUGUAGCGGUGAAAUGCUUAGAUAUGACGAAGAACCCCGAGUGCGAAGGCAGCUUGCUGGAGCGGAACUGACGCUGAGGCUCGAAAGCGCGGGUAUCGAACAGGAUUAGAUACCCCAGUAGUC
rnacentral:rRNA from 1 species